rnacentral:tRNA from 1 species
GAGGGUAUAGCUUAGUUAUAAAGCGGUGCGCUGUAAACGCAUUUAACGGAAUAUUUCCUACCCUCA